GAGGAAUUCCCAGUAAGCGCGAGUCAUUAGCUCGCGUUGAUUACGUCCCUGCCCUUUGUACACACCGCCCGUCGCUACUACCGAUUGAAUGGUUUAGUGAGGUCCUCCGAUUGGACCCGGUCCGGGCGGCGACGUCCGAGCCGGCGUCCGAGAAGACGAUCUAACUUGAUCAUUUAGAGGAAGUAAAAGUCGUAACAAGGUUUCCGUAGGUGAACCUGCGGAAGGAUCAUUA
rfam:Ciona savignyi cont_49982, whole genome shotgun sequence.